GACGAAUGCUGGCGGCGUGCUUAACACAUGCAAGUCGAACGGCAAAGCCUUGAUUGCCGUGUACUCGAGUGGCGAACGGGUGAGUAACACGUGGGUGGUCUGUAACACACUUCGGGAUAAGCCUUCACAACUGGGUCGAAUCCCGGAAAGGAGACAAAUUCAGUGUGACGGAUGGCAAGCGCUUUCGGGGUAGGAUGAGACCGCGGCGUAUCAGCUUGUUGGCGGGGUUAUGGCGUACCAAGGCGGCGUCGGGUCGCCGGCCUGGGAGGGUAGACGGCCACAUUAGGACUGAGAUACGGCCCAGACGACAACGGGAGGCAGAGGUGGAGAAUAUUGUACAACGGGAGCAAGCCUGAUGCAGCGACGCCGCGUGGGGGAAGCCGGCCUGCGGGUUGUGAACUCCUGUCGCGAGAUACGAAGCGUUUAUGACGGUACCUAGAGAAGAAGCACCGGCUAACUACGUG
rnacentral:rRNA from 1 species